AGUUUCUCUUCCUGUGUUCAUUAAAGUUGGAACAACACUGGACAACAGCAGCUGAGGUUGAGCAGAAAAGGGGUAAAUGGUGUGCUGUGUUGGCCUAUUUAACUAUGAAAUGAAAAGGUUGCAAGAACAAGGGAAAUACCAGAGGCAGAGACUCUUGGGGAAGGGCCAUAGCUUACUGGUAGAACAUUCUCUGUGCGCACAGAAGGUCCCAGUUUCCAAUCCCUGGCAGAACCCUGUCAGCUUAAUUACUGUUCAGUGUAGACCACACUAAGCUAGCUCAACCAACAGUCUGCUUUGUAUACAUUAUCUAGUUGCAAUUCUCACACCUGUAGGUGUUUAGCUCAGUGGCAGAGCAACUGCUUUGCAUGCAAAAGGUACAGUGCUCAACCCGUGGCAUCUCUAGGUAGAACUAGGAAUGUCUGCUGCCUUAAACCCUGGAGGGCCAUUGGAGUGUAGACAAUACUAAACUAGAUGGACCCAUAAAGCAACUUCCUAUGUUUCUGUGCACUGGAUUUGUACCGCAAAGACCAAAAGGAACAUCUAGACUGUUCAGUAAGUACAUGAGCAAAGGAUGCUCAUCAUUUCCAUGUGCUAAGAUAGUUUCCCCAAAUAGGAGAAUCAAAGUGUAAUAAUAAUACAAUUUCCCUGGGGAAACUACAGGUGUCUUGCUAUUCUAGAUUACUGCAAGUACAAAAGAAAUUAUAUGAAUGAGAAAGGUACAGUAGUAGAUUUAUCACAUAUAUGGAAAGAAGGUUCCGGAGAUUUAGGCUGCACGAGCACCAUACAUUUAAAACACCCCCCCCAAAAAAAAAAUCCUGGAAAAUGUAGUUUGUUAAUAGUACCAGGAGAGCCAGUUACCUGUUGAAUCUACGGAGAGCCUUUACUGAGCUGCAUUUUCAAGCUAUACAUUGGACCCAGGAGGCGAUUCUCACCUUAUCGAACAUCCAAGAAAGAUAUCUCUGCAUGCCAGAGAAAGUCCCAUGGUAAACGGUUCAGUCACCCUUUUUGCUUUAGCGGCCAAAAAGAUCAGAAAGAAGACAUAACAGUGAACUGGACAGGAGACAUAGAGAUCUAAAUAGAGACUUUAAUUUGUGGCGCAGCACCCCUUUUGCUUCUAUUUCUUUUGGUUUCAGAUUUGUCCUGGCCAAUGCUAGUACAAUAAAGUUAUUUGGAUUGGAUUGGUAUCAGGAAUUAUAGUUUAGAGAGCUGCAUUUCCCAGGAUUCUUGGGCAAGGGGGUUGCUUUAAUGUAUGGUGUCCCACAUAUGCAUGAUGUGGCAAUAUUGAAUCAUUGAGUCAUCAUCAACAUCACAUCUAUUCAAAAGCGCCCCCCCCCCACAUCUGUAGUUUGAAGGGGAUUUAUUCUAACCACCUCGUUCCUCUUUAUUUUUAGACUCAGACUGAGCUAAGAUGGCUGGGUAGAAUACACAGUUGAAUUUCAUAUCAGUGGUACCAAGACUUGGAAAUAAAGGAAGUCACUAGUAGCAGGUUCAGUUAGUUAAACACUGCAUAUUUUAUAAUAAAAAUGUACACUGUUUAUGUACACUUGUUUUACAUAUAAGGAAAAAAACUAAUGAAAACAAAUGCUUAAAGCAAUCACAACAGAAAUGUGUAUAUGGGAUAUCAUAGAAUCAAAGAAUUGGAAGGGACCACAGUGGUCGUCUAGUCCAACCAUCAAUGCAGGAAUAUUUUGCUCAACAUGGGGCUUGAACCCAGACCCUGAGAUUAAGAGCCUCAUAGCAGAGAUUAAAAGCCAAGGCCUGCAAAGGACAAGAUAGAGCUUUAAAAGUAAGCCACCAGCAUUUUGAAUUGUGCUCAUAAAUGGGUCACGAACAAGUGGAGCUCUUUAAAUUUUGGUGAUACAGUAAGCUCGCGACUUACUUGCUUUUAACUUCUGCACAUUCAGCUUUACGUGUGUGGCAAUAAAAGAAAAGAAAAGGGAUGGAGCUCCAGGACAAAUGACUUUGGCAAUCACACCCACCAUUGAACAUGGAUGACUGUAACCAGGCCCUGUGUGUCCCAGUGGGGCCACACCUUGACACAAGCAGCUUUGGCUGAUGAAAGGCAGUACUGUAUAUGUCACUAAGGCCACUUGACUACUAGCAACAGUGCAUUCAGUGCAUGGGGUUGACAGUAGGGAUGUGAAACACUAUGUUGGGAGUGCAACAGCAGGGAUCAUUCAGCUGUAACUUAAGGGUUAAUUCUCUUAUCAGUCAGCUAACCAUGGGGUUGGGUUGAGGUAUUGCUUAUAGCAACCAGGCAGAGUGGGAGGGUCUUUCUGUUAAGAUUUUUAUCCACCCAAGCUGCUCAGGCGUUUUCCCAACACUUUCAUGGGGUAGCACGUGCUCUGAUUGGCUGCGUAGUGCUGUGUUUUCCCUCUCUAUGGUUGGUUGAAUGUCUCCCUGCUAUGUACAAGGCCUGAAGUAAAAAAGACAAAAACUUCUCUGUUUCUUUCUCCUCAAGUUAUACAGUUUCAAUUUGUUCAGUUUCCUCAGGAUUUUCACUCUGGUCUCCCGUCUGUAUUAUUUAAGUGACUUUGCUGACAUGCCACAAUUCAUCCCCACUGCAUCUUCACUUCCUGCUGCUAACCAUCCUAUGUUGAAAUGGCUCACAUUAUUAUCAGCUGUGAGGCUCACAAGCAUGGCAACCAGGAAGCCGAACAGCUGUUUGGUUACUGUGAACCCCAUUGUUUGGAAAAACGAAUCUUCUGGAGCUGCCAGGCUGAGUUCAUGAGGCAGCUCUUAUUGCCAGCUUCAAAAAGCUAGUCUAAGCUUUCCCAGCAACUGCUUGUAGCUGUUGUGCUCACAGGCCCUCCAAUUACAGCUGCUGCCUCAUCUUUGCAGCCCAUCCCUGGGCAACAGUUAAAAGAGACAUUGUGGUUUCAUAAAGCUAUUUUUUUCAACUGGGGUUUUUCUUUUAGCUCUUUGGUAAAAAUGUUGUUCAUUAACAGAAUGGCUUCACAACCAGCCUGUUGGCGUGGAAAAAAUCCCCCUGAGCAGUGAAGCCAGGCAAAAUGCUGAAUGGGACACUGCCCUACCAACCUCAGUCUGCCCUUAAUCACUUGCCCACCUGCCUGCCUACUUCCUUCGAGCCAGCCGAGGAUGUGGCACUGCUUGUCAGCUUCCUCUUCUUUAGUCUUAGUGUUUUCCCCUUAUAUAAAUAAGAGUGGAUGAUGGAGACAAAAUUAGAAUUAGUUAGAUCUGCUUUCCAUUGGCUCUGGCACCAACUACUGUUGGGCUUCAGUUCCUGCCUUCUUCCGCCUUGCCAGCCACGAUGGGCACCAGCCAUCACUGCCCUGAGCUGCUUUCAGUUGCAUCCACAUUUUAGUUUGUACACUCUUUCUUUUGAUAGGAAUGUACCUGUAUGGCGUGCCACAAGGGUGCUUGCAACUCCAGGGUCUAAAACCCAAACUCAUUCAUUACCCUGAGAGAAAAAGUGGAGGAUGGUGGGAGGAGUCCUUGCACAUAGCUAUAUUAUUAACCUCAUUCUUCAGCAUCAAAAACUUUUAUCUAGGGAAAGAUGCUGAGAUUUGUAUGCCUGCUCUGCUUGCAUCUCUCGCUCACCUAUCAAGCACAUUAGCUUUGUAGGUCUGGAGGCCUUUCCAGAAUUUAAAUAUAUGUGUGAACAAUUUUACUUUGAAUUCUGAACCUAGAACAAUCCAAUUGUACAUGUCACAUCUUCGUUUAUGUCUGCCUGCAGCUUCUCCCAAUAAUUCUUGUGUCCGAGUUUCUGAUUUUUUGAAAUUGUUGUCUUCCACAUUUUCUCUUGCAUUUUCCAGCUGGGAUUUACGGUGCAAAGGGAAGAUGUAAUAGUCAAGAUGCUACUAAAAACAAGCUGGUCAGGCAUGAACAGAAGUGAGGAGUAAGUCACAAGAGAGCUGUUUUGAUACUACACAUUUUCCUCCUUGUUAAAUCACCAGCUUUCCUUCCCUCUAGGUUCUCACAAAGGGCUUGUUGUUCACCCUCAGGAGACAUAGCCUACAGUAACAAGUCUGCUACAUCUGCUACUCAGGAUGUAUAUUUAAGAGUCGAGUUGGAUGUAACAAUCUUAGUAAGAGUCACGACAUGACUCUUCUCAUGAAGUAUGAAUGCAGCUUUGCAACUUGCUUGAGAUGCAAACUUGACCACUGGUGCAACUCUGAGCCUUGCCCCCCAAUCGUGCUUCAGGCUGCCUGUUUGCUUUCUUAUACCAGGUAUGUUGCCUAUUUAAGAAGAUCCCUGUGGAUCAGACCGAAAUCUCAUUUAGUCCAGCAUCUUGUUCUAUGGGAGGCUCAUAAACAGGACCUGAGUGUAACAGCACACCCUGCCCUGCUUGUAGUUGAUGUUGAGAAAUACCCUGCCUCCAACAGUGGAGGUAGAACUAGCCAUUGGUAGACUUAUCCUCUGUGAAAUUGUCUAAUCCUUCUUUAAAGCCAUGCAAAUUGGUGGCUAUUGGCAGAGCACAGUGGGGUUGCUGUUGUUUUCAAUAUUUGCACACCAAAUGUAUUUUUUUAAAAUAAAUAAAUAGCUUUUUUAGGCAUGGGGAGAGACUUUCCGGAGCAAUGGUGUGUUUGGGAAAUGAAUGCAGAGUUGACAGUGCAAUCCUAUUUGUGACCACUCAGAUGUAAACCACUGUUGAGUCCAAUAGGACUUAUUCCCAAGUAAAUGUGUGUUGAAAGCUAAUUUCAGCCAGGGUCCUAAGGUUCCAAUAAAGAGGAUAGUACUCACACCCCCACACCCCGCAGCACAUACAGAAUGCCACCUCCUCCCUUGUGUAUAGUCUCAGCCACCAGCCUUCACCAACCUCGUGCCCUCUAGAUGUUUUGGACUACAACCCCCAGGCUUGCCCUGCUGAGACACUCCAGGCACUUUGAGUACUUGGGUCAUGUAAACAAUUGGGAGUGGGGGGGGGUGCCAAUACUAUCUCCACUAAGAUGCUAGUUUCCCCCCUCAUCUUAUUAGGGACAGUUUACACUGAACUACGUACUUGAAAAUAAUUAGCAGUGCAAAGUUUACUCACUUUGAAUUUUCCCUGUGGAUUUUGUUGAGUUAAACUAGAUUGAUGAUUGAUGAUAUAUCCAGAUUGCUCUGCUCUGAAUACAGUUUUGCAACAUUUUCUGAAGUGUGGUGAACUGCAAGCAUUCCAGAGACCACUUAGACCUGUGGUCUUCAGCUUUUUUAAAAAUUCAGACAUACUUUUAACUGCAACAGUCAACAAAGAACCAUUUCUUUCUCUCUUCCACUUCCUUUUGAAAUUUCUGCCAUUUCUCUCUUCAUGCAGCCCAGUUAUGAUUUCAACAAAAACAUUUGGUUGCAUGUGCUUCAGCCUAAUUCCAAAAUGGACUGCAGCUAGGGAUCGAGUCCAAGUGCAGGCUGGUGAGGAUCAGAAGGGCAACAGACAUGGUCAGAAAUGGACUAGGGGUCACACACUGAAUCAGGCAGAUGAGGAUCAAAAGGCCAGAGGCUAGUGUGGAAUCAGCUAGGCAAAACGUCAAGUUCCAAGACCGCAAUAAAAGGUAAAGGGUGGCCAGAGGCAGAUGUUAGGUCAAAGCUAGGGAGGCUGGCUUUUAUUUUUCACUAUAAUGACUAAAUCUGAGACGAAUUUUUAAAGGGUUGUUUUGGUGCAAAACAGGGAGUACCCCCC